AGUGAACGCUGGCGGUAGGCCUAACACAUGCAAGUCGAACGGCAGCACAGUAAGAGCUUGCUCUUACGGGUGGCGAGUGGCGGACGGGUGAGGAAUACAUCGGAAUCUACUUUUUCGUGGGGGAUAACGUAGGGAAACUUACGCUAAUACCGCAUACGACCUACGGGUGAAAGCAGGGGAUCUUCGGACCUUGCGCGAUUGAAUGAGCCGAUGUCGGAUUAGCUAGUUGGCGGGGUAAAGGCCCACCAAGGCGACGAUCCGUAGCUGGUCUGAGAGGAUGAUCAGCCACACUGGAACUGAGACACGGUCCAGAAUCCUAAGGGAGGCAGCAGUGGGGAAUAUUGGACAAUGGGCGCAAGCCUGAUCCAGCCAUACCGCGUGGGUGAAGAAGGCCUUCGGGGUGUAAAGCCCUUUUGUUGGGAAAGAAAAGCAGCAGGUUAAUACCCCGCUGUUCUGACGGUACCCAAAGAAUAAGCACCGGCUAACUUCGUG
rnacentral:rRNA from 1 species